GACGAACGCUGGCGGCGUGCUUAACACAUGCAAGUCGAGCGGUAAGGCCCUUUCGGGGUACGACGAGCGGCGAACGGGUGAGUAACACGUGGGUGACCUGCCCUCCAGCUCUGGGAGUAAGCCUGGGAAACCGGGUCUAAUACUGGAUAUGACUCCAUGACGCAUGUUGUGGGGUGGAAAGCCUUGUGCGGCUGAGGAUGGGCCCGCGGCCUAUCAGCUUGUUGGUGGGGUGGAGGCCUACCAAGGCGACGACGGGUAGCCGGCCUGAGAGGGCGACCGGCUACACU
rnacentral:rRNA from 1 species